CCUGCCAGUAGUCAUAUGCUUGUCUCAAAGACUAAGCCAUGCAUGUGUUAGUAUGAACUGAUUUUAUAUAGUGAAACUGCGAAUGGCUCAUUACAUCAGUUAUAGUUUAUUUGAUGGAUAUGCGUUCAGCACUACAUGGAUACCUGUAGUAACAUAGAGCUAAUACAUGCAUAAGAAUCUGACUUUACGGAAGGAUUUGCACUUAUUAGAUACCAAACCAAUAUCCUCUCGGGGAUUUAUUAGGUGAAUCACAAUAACUGAACAAAUCGCAUAGUCUUGCACUGGCGAUGUAUCAAUCAAGUUUCUGCCCUAUCAACUUGAUGUUAGUGUAUUGUACUAACAUGGUUUUUACGGGUAACAGAGGAUUAGGGUUCGAUCCUGGAGAAGGAGCAUGAGAAAUGGCUACUAUUUCUAAGGAAAGCAGCAGGC
rnacentral:rRNA from 1 species